ACGGGUGCGUAACACGUGGAUUACAUACCGGAAAGCGAGGAAUAGCCCAGGGAAACUUGGAUUAAUACCUCAUGUGGUCGCAAGACUAAAGGCGGGGCAACCUGUCGCUUUCUGAUUGGUCCGCGGCCUAUCAGCUAGUUGGCGGGGUAACGGCCCACCAAGGCGACGACGGGUAGCUGGUCUGAGAGGAUGACCAGCCACACUGGAACUGAGACACGGUCCAGACACCUACGGGUGGCAGCAGUCGAGAAUCAUUCACAAUGGGGGCAACCCUGAUGGUGCGACGCCGCGUGGAGGAUAAGGUCUUCGGAUUGUAAACUCCUGUCAUGCGAGAGCAAGAUUUGAGCGGGUAACUCCGCUGAAUUUGAUAGUAUCGCAAGAGGAAGAGACGGCUAACUCUGUGCCAGCAGCCGCGGUAAUACAGAGGUCUCAAGCGUUGUUCGGAAUCACUGGGCGUAAAGGGUGCGUAGGUGGCGUGGAAAGUCAGAUGUGAAAUCCGGGGGCUCAACCUCCGAAUAGCAUCCGAUACUCCCAUGCUAGAGAACUGGAGGGGGAUCUGGAAUUCUCGGUGUAGCAGUGAA
rnacentral:rRNA from 1 species